AUGUGACAAAUAAUCUAAUCUAAUCUAAUUUAUGCUAAUCUAAUUAUUUUUUUCUCUAAAGAAAAAACAGAAGAGAGAUCAGAUAACAGCUCAGGUUCCUCAGAUAACGGUGGAAGGAACCGUCUUUACUCAUUGAGCCUCAUUUUUCUCGUCUUCUUACUCUGUGGUGUAAUUGUGUCUCUAAUUAAGAAAAAAAAUUCUAAUAUUCAGUGAUGAAUAAUUCACAAACCUAAAUAUCUAGUUCUCUUUUCUGGUUAAAGCAAAGACUGUCUCAAACCAGCUACACACUUUAUUUAUAAACUCAGGGUUUUAUUCUCUACUGUAAAUAAUAAAUGUACAUAAAUCAGUGUAAUAUAUGUACAUAAAUCUGUUUAAUGCACACAGUGACGUCCUUUUGUAGUUCAGUUUUGUAAAAAUCUGAAUACAGAUUUAUUUAAUAGCCGUUAUUUACAUAAAAGUGUUAUUUACAUUUUAUACUGUGUUACUGUACCUUGGCAUACAAAUGCCCCGCCUUAAGGAAGUUUCACCAUAAGAACUGAAAUUUUGUAAGAAAUGUAUUUAUUUUUGUAUUUUACAUUGUUUACAUGUCUUUUCUAAAUAUUUUGAAUAUUUUUACAUGGAAAAUAUGAUUAUAAUGUUGGAAAUUGGUAAUAUUGGUACUUGCUUACAGUGUCUGGAACAGAUUAUCUGUAUGUACAUUAUUUCCUCUGGGAAAAUGCAUUUCACAAUACGAACUUUCACCUUAAGAACUCGGAUUAAACUCAUAUGCUGUA